UACGGAGGGUGCAAGCGUUAUCCGGAUUCACUGGGUUUAAAGGGUGCGUAGGUGGGCAGGUAAGUCAGUGGUGAAAUUCUCCGGGCUUAACCCGGAAACUGCCAUUGAUACUAUUUGUCUUGAAUACUGUGGAGGUUCAGCGGAAUAUGUCAUGUAGCGGUGAAAUGCUUAGAUAUGACAUAGAACACCAAUUGCGAAGGCAGCUGGCUACACAAAUAUUGACACUGAGCACGAAAGCGUGGGGAUCAAACAGG
rnacentral:rRNA from 1 species